rnacentral:rRNA from 1 species
CAGUCGCCACGGUAAUACGAAGGGUGCAAGCGUUAAUCGGAAUUACUGGGCGUAAAGCGUGCGUAGGCGGUGAGUUAAGUCUGCUGUGAAAUCCCCGGGCUCAACCUGGGAAUGGCAGUGGAUACUGGCUCGCUAGAGUGUGUCAGAGGAUGGUGGAAUUCCCGGUGUAGCGGUGAAAUGCGUAGAGAUUGGGAGGAACAUCAGUGGCGAAGGCGGCUCACUGGACCAUUACUGACGCUGAGGCGCGAAAGCUAGGGGAGCAAACAGGAUUAGAUACCCCGGUAGUCCCUGUCUCUUAUAC